CAGCCGCCGCGGUAAAACGUAGGUCCCGAGCGUUGUCCGAAUUUAUUGGGCGUAAAGCGAGCGCAGGCGGUUAGAUAAGUCUGAAGUUAAAGGCUGUGGCUUAACCAUAGUACGCUUUGGAAACUGUUUAACCUGAGUGCAAGAGGGGAGAGUGGAAUUCCAUGUGUAGCGGUGAAAUGCGUAGAUAUAUGGAGGAACACCGGUGGCGAAAGCGGCUCUCUGGCUUGUAACUGACGCUGAGGCUCGAAAGCGUGGGGCGCAAACAGGAUUAGAUACCCCAGUAGUCCCUGUCUCUUAUACA
rnacentral:rRNA from 1 species